AUGCCGCGUGUGUGAAGAAGGCCUUCGGAUUGUAAAGCACUUUUGUCCGGAAAGAAAGCUUCGUCCCUAAUAUGGAUGGAGGAUGACGGUACCGGAAGAAUAAGCACCGGCUAACUACGUGCCAGCAGCCGCGGUAAUACGUAGGGUGCGAGCGUUAAUCGGAAUUACUGGGCGUAAAGCGUGCGCAGGCGGUCUGUUAAGACCGAUGUGAAAUCCCCGGGCUUAACCUGGGAACUGCAUUGGUGACUGGCAGGCUUUGAGUGUGGCAAAGGGGGGUAGAAUUCCACGUGUAGCAGUGAAAUGCGUAGAGAUGUGGAGGAAUACCGAUGGCGAAGGCAGCCCCCUGGGCCAACACUGACGCUCAUGCACGAAAGCGUGGGGAGCAAACAGGAUUAGAUACCCUGGUAGUCCACGCCCUAAACGAUGUCAACUAGUUGUUGGGGAUUCAUUUCCUUAGUAACGUAGCUAACGCGUGAAGUUGACCGCCUGGGGAGUACGGUCGCAAGAUUAAAACUCAAAGGAAUUGACGGGGACCCGCACAAGCGGUGGAUGAUGUGGAUUAAUUCGAUGCAACGCGAAAAACCUUACCUACCCUUGACAUGGUCGGAACCCUGCUGAA
rnacentral:rRNA from 1 species